rnacentral:rRNA from 1 species
GAUGAACGCUGGCGGCGUGCUUAACACAUGCAAGUCGAACGGAGAUAUGAAGCGAGCGGGAAGUGCUUGCACAGAACAAUCAUUUCAUAACUUAGUGGCGGACGGGUGAGUAACGCGUGGGUAACCUGCCUUAUACCGGGGGAUAACACUUAGAAAUAGGUGCUAAUACCGCAUAAGCGCACAGUAUCGCAUGAUACAGUGUGAAAAACUCCGGUGGUAUAAGAUGGACCCGCGUCUGAUUAGCUUGUUGGCGGGGUGACGGCCUACCAAGGCGAUGAUCAGUAGCCGGUCUGAGAGGAUGAACGGCCACAUUGGGACUGAGACACGGCCCAG